UACGUAGGGACCGAGCGUUAUCCGGAUUCAUUGGGCGUAAAGAGCGUGUAGGCGGCCAAGCAGGUCCGCUGUGAAAACUCGAGGCUCAACCUCGAGACGUCGGUGGAAACCGUUUGGCUAGAGUCCGGAAGAGGAGAGUGGAAUUCCCGGUGUAGCGGUGAAAUGCGCAGAUAUCGGGAAGAACACCCGUGGCGAAGGCGGCUCUCUGGGACGGUACUGACGCUGAGACGCGAAAGCGUGGGGAGCGAACAGG
rnacentral:rRNA from 1 species